CGCAAAGGCUCACGGGACACAACGUGGCAAAGCUUUAGACAGACAGGACCUCAAAACGGCGGACCAUACACGACCCUUCGCAGAAACUUCCUAGAAUAAGUUAUAAUGGGCACUGCAGAGAUGAUUCUGGCAAUCAUGUAGGGGUGCGUUGACAAUCUACGGACUUCGUUUUGGGAUAGUGGAGUGGACCCAUGAAAGCGAACACCUGGGAGGAGAGGGAGAGAAUGGAAGCUCAGCAUCUUUUCCUUGGAUGGGGGUGGACUUCCUCCAGAGACACCUCUAGAGGGCCCUAAGAGUCAAGGUGGGAAGCAGCCAUGUCCAGGAUCCACGACAGGUGCUCAAGCCACGGAGGAGUGUGGGUGGUAGCAGGAGGGUUCAUGUUCAAAUCCUGACUCCACUACAUUCCAACCAGAGCGAGCUGCUGCCCUGGGCCAGGCGCUGCGUGAAGGGCUGAGGGUCCCUGUAUCGGAGUUGGAAACGGAAGCCAGCCGUCACACCAGAUGUUAUACGGCAUCUCAAACCUACGUGAACAGAAAAUGGCUUAUCGGCACCUGUCCGCUCGGGCCCUGCCUGGGUCUGCGCGCCUGCACCUCCGCCACAGCCGCACGGCAGAGGGCAUGCAC